UUAAGGAUCCAGUGUUGCUGUGAGCUGUGGUAUAGAUUGCAGACACAGCUUGGAUCUGGUGUUUCUAUGUCUGUGGUAUAUGUCAGCAGCUGUAGGUCCAGUUCAACCCCUUGCCUGGGAACCUCUGUAUGCUGCAGGUGCAGCCCUAAAAAGCAAAAAAAAAAAAAAAAGGUUGUAGGGCACCCUGAGAAGUGCUUGAUGAGUGAGUGCUCAUCACUCCAUCAUUGAAAUUGGUAUCAGACUCACUUAUAUUCUGUAACAUGCUUCUACUUAGGCCAGUCAUGAACAUAUGCACUCAUUGAGUCACUGGAAUACCGUCUUUGGGUGGAUUUACAGAUAGACUAAAGCCAGCUUUUUGGAAGUCUGUUUAAUAUAUUUAAAAAAAUAUUUCUUCACAAUAGUUUGUUGCCAUUUUCACAUCACAGAUUUACCUCAUUAUAGGCAUUCUUAUGCCAUACAAAAUGUUCCUUUCUCAUAUUGAAGCCCUUUCUGAAUGCCCUUAAAGUACCUCCCUCAUUUUUCAUCAAUUUUAGUUUAAAACAGUGGUUUACAAGUCUUCUGAACACUUGAAUUGACAAACAUCUUUAAAACAUAGCAGUGCCUCACCCCAGAGAAUCUGCUUUAAGUGAUCUCACGUGGGAGCCAGUGUUAAAUUUUUAAAGUUCACCCCAUGUGUUUUCUAUAUGUAAUGCUGGUGGAGGAAUUUUGAUUGAGAUGAAAGUUUCUCAGUAUGUGAUCCAGUUCAUUGGGGAUUUUUAUGAAAUCUUUGAGAUCACCGAAGCUUUUAUAAUAUUAAUACAGAUUUUGUUCCCAAUGUGGAAUCAUGAAUUUUUUCAAUUUCAAACUUUCUGGGUAUCUUGCUAGUAUUGGCAUCACUGUCAUGAAUAAUGUGCUUUGCCUGGUGUUGGUUAGCAAGUUGGGAACCUGGUCUUCUGACUGAAAUUACUAUCUUAAAAGUAUCUAAAAGUCAGGGGACACUUAGAAGGUUGGAGUAGAGCGCUUUUAGUUGUCUUUAGUCAAACUCACUCAUUUUAUGGAUGAGGAAGUUGCAGUCUACAGGAGUGAAAUUUAUUACCCGACUUUGCUGUCAGGUGGGGAGCAGGAACUGUGAAUUUGAGACUUGUGCUCUUCAUAGUCAGUCUGUUCCAUGCCUUGCCUCUCGGAAGAAGUCUGUUGAAAUAGCACAGAACUUGAGACUUCACUUGUUCUUUUGGGGCCAGGUCCUAAAACUUUCACCAUUUGUUAUUUAAGCCACAGUGCUAACUUCUAAUUACCAUUCAGUAAUUACCUUACAGUGAACAGAUGUGUGUUAUUUUCUAGAAAAAAAAAGGUUGCAUGUGAUCUACACCUGUACCUUCUGCAGUGUUUCUCUGCUGCAAAGUAGCAAUCAGCAUUAAUGUAUAAAUUCCAGUUGCCAAGGUCUCAAAUUUAGCUGAUGCUGAUGUGCAUUGCAGUGUAAGGAUUUCUGUUGCCAACAGAUCAGAUGUUCUCCAGGCUCCCAUCAGCUUCCUCAAUUACCAGUCACCAAAUUUUGCUUUCCCUCUGAAGGGCAGGUUUUGUUUUUGUGCGGUUGAGUGGUACUCUGGUGAAAUGAGACAAUGUCUUUCUCAUAGGGAAUAAUUUCACUGGGAGCAUAAAGUAACAAAGUAGCAAAGUGAAUUAGUUGAGGAUGUGUUUUUGUUUUGAGUUUCCUACAUUUUACAUAUCUAAGAUUAAAGAAGGUGGGAUGAGGUUAGCAACAAACUAUAACAGUGGACUUUAAAAAAUUUAUUUUGGUGGAAUGUGCUCUGCAUGCUGCAGUCUUUAUCUUGUUCUGAAAUGAGGAUAGAAAGUGGUAGAAGGGUUAUUUCAUACUAGGAUUCAUUACAUCAUGUUAUCUGGUGGAAUAUUAUGUUUGUUUCACUCUCAUUUCAUAGUUACACAUUUUGCACGCUUUCAAUUCAGGCUUAACUCAAGUGGUCUCCACAAUUGGAAGGUAGCACUGAUGUUUUAAAUGGACAUUUGCUUAAGGUUUGCUGCUAAGAGAUAAGGUGGGUAAUGUGGUUUAAAUACAUUAGUCCCCUGAGUGUGGAAAUUUCAUUCACUGCAGCUUAAGGGGCUAUGGGUACAAAUACUUCAAUUGAAGUCUGCGUAUUUCUACAUCCUCAAAUAAUCCAGUGCUUCAGAUCAAUUUUUUUCCCCUUCAACUUGGACAGCUGAUCAGUAGACAAUAGUGAUGAAUCUUUAAUGGUGUCCUCAUGAUAGUCAGCCACAAUCAGACACUUGAUCAGAUUUACAUUUGUUUAGUAUUGAGCUUUUAAAAAUGUCUGUCCUUUGUUGCCUUGAAAGGGAUAAUGCCAGACUUUCCCUUAUCUUCCCCUUUUUUCCUUUAAAAAAUUAGUAAUGGCAGUAAGACUGGGCCUGACAUGGAAGGAGAGGGGGAAUAUGCAUAACUGCAUUUUGAAUUAUGAGUUGACUUACAGUAUGGAUCUUCCUAACAAGAAAUUUUGACAACCUAAAUUUUUUUCAGAAAAAAAAGCAGAGAGUCCUGAGAAAACCAUCACGUGAAAACUGGUCACAAUGAUCACGUGAAGGCUAUGAAAGCCUUAGGUAGGAGAGCAUUUCUACCAAAGGAGAGGCUUAGGCUGCAUUCCAGUAGGUGCAUUAUAAGUCUCAAUGUGCACAUUCUUGAGGACUGUUAAAUGUAAUCUGGGAAUCCUAUUUAAUAUAUUGGUGUUUAUUUGAAAAGAGAAAGCUUUGCAAGAAAAACAUUUUUUAGCAUUUUUAAUUCUUAAAAAUAAGUUAUAAAUAUUAAAGUAAUACAGAAGAUAAUCCAUAUUCAUGUAUCCUUAUGUCUGAAAAAAUAAUAUUUUGAUGUUCAUUUAUGUCAGUUUCAAUUAUAGUUAUAAUUUAACCCUUAAUUAUAGUUACAGAUGAAGCCCCUAUCACAACAGCCUCCUCUUUCCUACCUCCUCAGAGGUAUCAAAUAACCUGAAAUAAAUGUUUCUUUACUAUUCAUACAAAAAUAUAUAUACUUUUUAUGCAUAUCCAUUUAUCCAAGAAUAAAUGGCAAAAAAAAAAAAAAAAAAAAAAAUUAGGAAACAUGAUACAUAACCUUAGCUGGUUGUUAUCUUUCUCCUCAUGUUUAAUAUGAUCAACAUCAAUAGUAGUUCAUUUACUUUAUUUUAUUUUGUUUUGUUUUAAUUUUAUUAGGACCACACCCACAACAUACGGAAUUUCCCAGGCUAGGGGUCAAAUUGUAACCAUAGCCACUGGCCUAUGCCACAGCCACAGCAAUGCCAGAUCCAGCCAUGUCUACAAUCUAUACCACAGCUCACAGCAAUGCCAGAACCUUAACCCACUGAGCAAGGCCAGGGUUCAAACCUGCAUUCUCAUGGAUACUAGAUAGUUUCAUUACCACUGAGCCAUGAGGGGAACUUCAAUUCAUUUAUUUUAAAUGCAGUGUAAUAGUCUAGUAUCUGGCUGGGUCAUGAUGCUUAUCUGUUCUCAUAUGGAUUGGCAUUUAAAUUUGAAAAAUUUUAUUUUAACAAACUAUGGCAACAAAUUACCUGGUCCAUACAUGCUCCUUAUAGAAACAUUUUAGUAGAGACAUCUUCACAGGUGUCAAAUCAUUGGGUUGUAAGGUAUGUGUGUUAAUUUUACUAGAUGUUAUUGAAUUGCUGAAUUGUUUCCUGAAGUAGUGAUACCAAUUCACAUUCACAUCAAGUGUUUGAAAGUUUUCUUGUUUUGGUUAUAGUUGAUGUUAUGCCCAGACUGGUUCCAGUCUGUGUAUCCUUCUUAUUCCAUAGCUACCAUCUUUGGAAGUCCUUGCAGCCUCAGCUUCAUUGACUUUUUCGGAAUAGAUCUUGCCCUUUCGUAGCAGUUUUGAUGGAGCUACAGCCCACUACUUGUUGGCUCAUGGCUGGAUUAUGCUUACUGCUAGCCUGGCCUUUACCUUGUGACUUAGUUCAAAUAAUGGACUCUUUUAUAGGAAAUGUGCUGGACCACAUUCUGAAAAGUAGAACAUUUGGCUCUGUCUCAAAGCUUAUUCCUUCAGGAUCUGGCAUUAAAUGCAGGAUUUAGACUUUAUCUAACUUCUUAAAGUUUCUCUCCUAAGAAUUGAAGUUCA
rnacentral:lncRNA from 1 species